rnacentral:misc_RNA from 1 species
GAUGAAGAAAGUAGCGAAAUGCGAUACGUAAUGUGAAUUGCAAAUUCAGUGAAUCAUCGAGUCUUUGAACGCACAUUGCGCCCCCUGGUAUUCCGGGGGGCAUGCCUGUCCGAGCGUCAUUGCUGCCCUCAAGCACGGCUUGUGUGUUGGGCCCCGUCCUCCGAUCCCGGGGGACGGGCCCGAAAGGCAGCGGCGGCACCGCGUCCGGUCCUCGAGCGUAUGGGGCUUUGUCACCCGCUCUGUAGGCCCGGCCGGCGCUUGCCGAUCAACCCAAAUUUUUAUCCAGGUUGACCUCGGAUCAGGUAGGGAUACCCGCUGAACUUAAGCAUAUCAAUAAGCGGAGGA